UGAGGAAUAUUGGUCAAUGGGCGCAGGCCUGAACCAGCCAUCCCGCGUGCAGGAAGACGGCGCUAUGCGUUGUAAACUGCUUUUCCAGGGGGAGAAACUUGCGCACGUGUUGCGCAAUUGACGGUACCCUGGGAAUAAGCAUCGGCUAACUCCGUGCCAGCAGCCGCGGUAAUACGGAGGAUGCGAGCGUUAUCCGGAUUCAUUGGGUUUAAAGGGUGCGUAGGCGGACUAUUAAGUCAGUGGUGAAAUCCUGCAGCUUAACUGCAGAACUGCCAUUGAUACCGAUAGCCUUGAGUUUGGUUAAGGUAGGCGGAAUGUGUAAUGUAGCGGUGAAAUGCUUAGAUAUUACACAGAACACCAAUUGCGUAGGCAGCUUACUGAGCCGACACUGACGCUGAGGCACGAAAGCGUGGGGAUCGAACAG
rnacentral:rRNA from 1 species